rnacentral:rRNA from 1 species
AAUCAACGCUGGCGGCGUGCCUAACACAUGCAAGUCGAACGCGAAAGCCCCGCAAGGGGUAAGUAGAGUGGCAAACGGGUGAGUAACACGUGGGUGACCUGCCUCGAGUGGGGGAUAACGUCCCGAAAGGGACGCUAAUACCGCAUGACAUCCUGCUUUUGAAAAAGCGGAGAUCAAAGCUGGGGAUCGCAAGACCUAGCGCUUGAAGAGGGGCCCGCGCCUGAUUAGCUAGUUGGUGAGGUAACGGCUCACCAAGGCGACGAUCAGUAUCCGGCCUGAGAGGGCGGACGGACACACUGAGACUGGGACACGGCCCAGACUCCUACGGGAGGCAGCAGUGGGGAAUUGUUCGCAAUGGGCGCAAGCCUGACGACGCAACGCCGCGUGGAGGACGAAGAUCUUCGGGUCGUAAACUCCUGUCGAGCGGGACGAACGCUUCGCGGAUGAAUAAUCCGCGGAAUUGACGGUACCGCUAAAGGAAGCCCCGGCUAACUCCGUG